UAUGUCAUAAAAAGUAUUUUACGACGAAAAAAUUUGUCUAUGGUUACAAUCGAUAAGUUUGACAGCAAAAUACGAACAUAUUCAAUUGGCUAAAUUUUUGUUUUGAAUUAAAAUACAAAAAUUUGAAUUUUGAAACUCAUCUAAUUAAACACUUUAAGAUACACAAGUACAAAUAGUGCCUCAUUAUCAAUCAUGUGUGAAACCGAAAUCCGAGAGAAUUUAAUAGUUCCCGAGUAAGAAGCGUCGCGAUUUGUUAAAUAGUGUUAUGGUUUUUGAUAAAUACCACUUCAAAAGUAAGUGGGUGCUGCACUUAAAGGAUGUCGGAGAAUCUGAUGGACAUGGUCUUCACAACUGUGGGGGUAAUCCUGGUUAUGUUGCUGUUGAGUAUCCUUUGCUGCCUGCUUAUGAAGUUGAGUGACCUAAGACUGCAACGUUAUAUUGUGAAGACUGCAAAGCAAAAGGGCCUGAAUGUGGAUCUAGACAAACUAAGUCCAAGGUACUGCCCCCAAUCACCACUAGCUAAUGAAAACUGCACCAUCAUUGUACCUGAUGUUGCUAUUAUUAUGUAGAGGAUGAUUAUCAUUGGAUUUUUAAGAAAUCCUUAUCCUGGCUACAAGAGUGAUCGCAAAACAAGUAGUCUUACCCAAACUUGAGCAUGUAGCUCUGCAAUGUACAUAAGUGAGAUAUGAGUUUUCACUUCUUCAGACUUCAGAUUGGAUUGAUUAAAGAAUUUGUUGCACAUUAUAUGUAUGAGCUACGAUAAAAAAAAAACGCAAGGAACUCGAAGUUGACUGCAAUAUUCUACUUACUUUGAAACUACUAUGCUGUCUCUUGAGCAAAUAGUAAUUUUAUUAAUUAUAUCUACUGGAUUUCGAACGCACUGGACUUGAACACACGUUAACGACGAUCCGUAUUAUGCAGUCCCAUGCAUAAUCUAGAAGAAAAAGUGCUUGGGUUUUUAAAUCGCUAGCUUUUAAUUGUUUAAAAAUACUGAAUGGAUAUUAUUAUAAAUACUUUACUUUAUUAAGAAAUUCAACAGAAAUAGGUAGAAAUCUCACACUAGGCGGUGUGAGAUUUCUACCUAUGUUCACUUAUUUGAUCGCGUGUAAGUUAAUUACGAUUUCUAUGGUAUCGAAAGAUCGCCAUCUAGUUAAAUUUCUGGGAAACUGUAUUGCCAAUAGAUGGCGUAAUUUCCCGGGCACUUUCGGAGUAUUGGUGAAAAUUAUUUUAUAGUCAACUACUGAAGAUAGACUGUUAAUUCGUUAGUGUAUUCUUAUUUUUCACAGAUACUUUUUGAUGACUGACAUCUAUGAUCUAGUAUAUUAUUGUUGUAACCUUUACGCGCCAUUGAAGUAAAACUUUUAUAAUUAUUUAUU